GUAUGGGCAUGUUGGAUCCCUGCUCAGGCAGCGACGACAUCUCCUCCACGUCUCUUCAGUUGUUGGCACGAGCCCGUGCUCGGCCGUUGUUGGUUUUCCUGUGCUGAAUACCUAUCGCGAGGGCAUAAUGUCGGCUAGAAUCGUUCGUUUCCCGCCUUGUGCUGCUGCUCCUCGUGGGCRAGCGGUGCGGGGUGGGCCAAAUCGCGCACGUCGUGUAUCGCAUCGCGUUCGCCUUCGCGGGUGUUCGGGUUGACGACCCACGACGUUAUGCACGAUCUCUCGGGUACGGUAUAUCAUGUGGGUACGAGGCCAUCGGCCUCCGAACACCACAAACAAGCGUUCUACGCUUCGUGCGAACGACGGUCGGUUCGAUCUUUGGCCGUGCUCUCGUAGCUCGGUUCAAGUCGCGCCGACGUCGA
rnacentral:misc_RNA from 1 species